CACAGCGAUGUGAUGCUAAUCUCCAAACCAUGUCUCAGUUCGGAUCGGAGUCUGCAACUCGACUCCGUGAAGCUGGAUUCGCUAGUAAUCGCGCAUCAGCCAUGGCGCGGUGAAUACGUUCCCGGGCCUUGUACACACCGCCCGUCAAGCCAUGGGAGCCGGGGGUACCUGAAGUCCGUAACCGCGAGGAUCGGCCUAGGGUAAAACUGGUGACUGGGGCUAAGUCGUAACAAGGUAGC
rnacentral:rRNA from 1 species